rnacentral:lncRNA from 1 species
GAAACUUUAAUAUUUUGUUGUGAUUCGACAUUGUCGAAUUGUGACCAACAGUUAAUGAGCUAUUACCCAUUAUACAAACCCUUAAAUAGCAUUUCCAAACGAGUAUAGCAAUAUAACAUAUAACAUGCAUCUGAUGUGAUUGAGGUAGAUAGUAUAUCAAUUCAGAUAAUAACAACAACAUUACCAGCCAAAAGAAUCCCAUAACCCAAAUAAUAUAUGGAGCAUCAAAAUAUCUAAGUAUAAUUGAAACGGGAUAGCAUCCAAUAAAAGUGAACAAGACAUAAACCCAAGAUGCCCUCCACAGAUAAUUAAUGUGAAAGGCUCACCACUGCUGUUCUCAAGAAUAGCGAAGACUCAGGCCACUGCGAUAUCUGCUUCAGAAUCUCAAAAUCUACACAUAAAGUAAGGGAGUGAGUCCCCUUAAACCCCAUAAGCAUUUUAAACCCAUUCUUAAAUGCCUCUGUGACAGAUCUUUUACUAAAAAGAAUGCAUACAUGAUAAAUGAUAUGAUCUAUGCAACUAUAUGCAAAUUGAGCUGCACUAAACUAAGCUAAUUAACUCUAGGUACGAAAUCCAUAUGAAGCUGAUAUCAUGCACACAGAUACUUGUGCAUGUGAUACCUUUGAUAGAGGAUGUAUUGAUAAGGGCAGGUAAAGCUGAUUGGCAGACUUUUAA